GUUUUUUUUUAAAUGUUCACAAUGGUAACCACUAUUACAAACACUUUCUUUCAUGUUUCAUUUUCUAGUGGACAAAGUAGAGGUAUAUACAUAGAAGGGACUGAUGGCAAUCUCUGGAAUGGCAUGUUCUUAGACUCUGAGUUUUUCUAGGCUAUAGACAUUGCUGGGCAUAUCUUGCAGAUGGCAGUGAAGUGCCAAGUGGAUUGCAUUUUACAUAAAGGACCAGUAUCUGGUGCACAUGACUUUCACCAGGAGUAGGAUGGGGAAAGUGGGUGACUCUGAAUACAAUAUGAGCUGUCACUUUCACUGUCGUCAGUGCAGUUUCCAUAGAUUUAUGCCUAAGCCUGGGUUCAGAGGAAGCUACAAAUAAAAACUGGAGGAGUUGUUCUCUAGCA
rnacentral:lncRNA from 1 species